GCUCCGGUGGCCUAUUGGUUAGAGCCUCCGCCUCUGAUGCGGGAGGUCGCGUGUUUAAACCCCGGCCAAAUCA